UCGAAUAAUCUUCAUUUCCAUGGAUAAUUUGGUAUAUUUGGAAAGUAAGGAAUGAAAAAAUCGUUGAACAUAUGGAUAAAGAUCCUCUAGAGAUC
rnacentral:sRNA from 1 species